rnacentral:rRNA from 1 species
GCUAAAUACGUGCCAGCAGCCGCGGUAAUACGUAUGUCCCGAGCGUUAUCCGGAUUUAUUGGGCGUAAAGCGAGCGCAGACGGUUUAUUAAGUCUGAUGUGAAAUCCCGAGGCCCAACCUCGGAACUGCAUUGGAAACUGAUUUACUUGAGUGCGAUAGAGGCAAGUGGAACUCCAUGUGUAGCGGUGAAAUGCGUAGAUAUGUGGAAGAACACCAGUGGCGAAAGCGGCUUGCUAGAUCGUAACUGACGUUGAGGCUCGAAAGUAUGGGUAGCAAACGGGAUUAGAUACCCCGGUAGUCCAUACCGUAAACGAUGGGUGCUAGUUGUUAAGAGGUUUCCGCCUCCUAGUGACGUAGCAAACGCAUUAAGCACCCCGCCUGAGGAGUACGGCCGCAAGGCUAAAACUUAAAGGAAUUGACGGGGACCCGCACAAGCGGUGGAGCAUGUGGUUUAAUUCGAAGAUACGCGAAAAACCUUACCAGGUCUUGACAUACCAAUGAUCGCUUUUGUAAUGAAAGCUUUUCUUCGGAACAUUGGAUACAGGUGGUGCAUGGUCGUCGUCAGCUCGUGUCGUGAGAUGUUGGGUUAAGUCCCGCAACGAGCGCAACCCUUGUUAUUAGUUGCCAGCAUUUAGUUGGGCACUCUAAUGAGACUGCCGGUGAUAAACCGGAGGAAGGUGGGGACGACGUCAGAUCAUCAUGCCCCUUAUGACCUGGGCAACACACGUGCUACAAUGGGAAGUACAACGAGUCGCAAACCGGCGACGGUAAGCUAAUCUCUUAAAACUUCUCUCAGUUCGGACUGGAGUCUGCAACUCGACUCCACGAAGGCGGAAUCGCUAGUAAUCGCGAAUCAGCAUGUCGCGGUGAAUACGUUCCCGGGUCUUGUACACACCGCCCGUCAAAUCAUGGGAGUCGGAAGUACCCAAAGUCGCUUGGCUAACUUUUAGAGGCCGGUGCCUAAGGUAAAAUCGAUGACUGGGAUUAAGUCGUAACAAGGUAGCCGUAGGAGAACCUGCGGCUGGAUCACCUCCUUUCUAAGGA